AAGGAGUCUACCAUCUAUGCGAGUGUUUGGGUGUCAAGCCCGUGCGCGUAAUGAAAGUGAACGUAGGUGUGAACCUUUCGGGGUGCACCAUCGACCGAUCCUGAUGUCUUCGGAUGGAUUUGAGUAGGAGCAUAGCUGUUGGGACCCGAAAGAUGGUGAACUAUGCUUGAAUAGGGUGAAGCCAGAGGAAACUCUGGUGGAGGCUCGCAGCGGUUCUGACGUGCAAAUCGAUCGUCAAAUUUGGGCAUAGGGGCGAAAGACUAAUCGAACUAUCUAGUAGCUGGUUCCUGC
rnacentral:misc_RNA from 1 species